CACGAACCGUCCAAACGUUAUUCGGAAUCAUUGGGCUUAAAGGGUGCGUAGGCGGUGCGGUAAGUUGGGUGUGAAAUCCCUCGGCUCAACCGAGGAACUGCGCCCAAUACUGCCACACUCGAGGGAGACAGAGGUAAGCGGAACUGAUGGUGGAGCGGUGAAAUGCGUUGAUAUCAUCAGGAACACCAGUGGCGAAAGCGGCUUACUGGGUCUCUUCUGACGCUGAGGCACGAAAGCUAGGGUAGCGAACGGGAUUAGAUACCCUCGUA
rnacentral:rRNA from 1 species